CUGGGGGUGGCUGGGGGUGGCGGCGGUGCCUGCUGCUGCCGGGCUGCGGCUGAGAUCAUUCUGUUGAUCUCGUUUUACACAGCGCAGCCCGGCACAGGCUGAGUACAGAAUGUUCUCUUCUGUGAACCAAGCUUGAACUCUUCCAGCCCACUUUGUUUGAGGAACCACACAGACACAGAGGGAAAAGACAGGGCAGAUAACCCCCCAAAUCGUUGAAAUCACGGUGUUCUUUGGGAUUUGGGCUUAGGCCAUUUGCUUUUCACUGCCUAAUGUGAAAAAAAAAAUUUUUUUUUUUCAAACCUUGCUUUCCCGGAAGAGUGAAACGCCUGUAGUGUCCUUCCUCUUAGACAGGACUUGGCACCAACUUUGGAAAUUAUAAAGUCUGUCACUGUCUCUCUUUUAAUUUAUUUUUCUCCUCUUAGGCAUUCAAAGAACAACAGUGAAAGUUGGUUUCCUAUAAAGGAAAGAUGAGGUCCCUGGCGCUUGGGACUUCUCCCUGGGUUGUUGACGCUGUCAUGAUAUUAUAAAUUGCGUUCUUGGAUUUGUUGCUACGGCUGGGAGAUGUAUGUAAUGGGGAAGGCUUUGGGCCAGUGGCUUCUAUACAAAUGAGCAAUGAGAAGAGCCCCGAGUGUGGAAGGUGGCUCCUGUUCCUCUUCCGAACCAUAGUCACCUCGUUUCAGGGUCAAGUGUGCCAUUUGAAGUCACAAAUGGCUUGCGGGCUAUAGGAUGAUCUCAGAGUGAAACUUCUGUUCAUCAUGGUGGUUUCCCAACUCACUAAGAAUAAUAAUAAUAGUAAUGAUGAUGAUGAUGAUGAUGAUGAUGAUGAUGACGACGACGACGACGAUGAUGAUGACGACGACGAUGAUGCAUUUGAAGAGAGGAGAUUCUACUGUGUCACCCAAUCUGCUUAAACGUCCAGACUCAUGCAGUCUUCCCCUCUCACUCCAGCAGAUGAGAAAUACCAAAGCCAGGAGCAACAACUCACCCAUGAUCGCUUAACCAGUCAGCCUGUCAACUGGUUUACAGAGUGAAGACACUCAAUGGACAUUGCCGGGGAAGAUGUUUUCAACAGUCGCACUGGUGAGGUGUAUCGGCCUUGGUCCACUUGGGACCCCAGCCCAUCUCUAUCACUGUGUCUCUCAGAGUGAAGCCUGUUGAACACCCCCACUGAUUUGGUGCCUCCCUGCACCAGGUUACACAGCACAGCACAGCAGUCCUUUUGAGUGCGCCUGGACAGGGCAGAAUCAUCUUCCAAUGGUAAUUUCACUGAGCUGGGAGGUACUGUGUUUGGCCUCGCUUUGGCUUUAACUUGCUGAUUGGGCCUUGGAAUGAUUCCAAGCCCUGGAGGGAUGCCCAGAAGGAUAGAGCCACUGCAACAUCUGCAGUGUAGGCUGACCUUUCUCACAGUGACCCAGAGCCACCCUUGUACCAGAAAUUCUCCUGGGCCAUGUGGGAAGAUGGCGUGUCCUCUGUUAAGGACUCUACUGGUGGGCUUCUGUUUGGGGAUCUUCUGAUUGGAUACUCUAGAAAUGAAGACAGAGGCUAUAGGCUCAGGCAGCAAGGCCUUCUCCAUGGCCUGUUAUAUGACUGUACUGGCCUGGUGUUUUCCAUGGCCUGUUAUAUGACUGUACUGGCCUGGUGUUUUCACUCCAUCUUUAUUCAUUCCUGCUGAGGAGCCCCUCAUCUGGACUUUGCCAGAAGGAGGCUGGACUCCAACACUCCCCUCCAGAUUAUGCAUAGCUAUGGUACCGAUUUUGCUAAAGACCCCAUUCUAUCCAUUUACAAGCUAUCAACGGAGUAGGAGCUGGGCUCAGUAGUAGACAGAUUGCAUAGCAUUUGUGAGUUUCUGGCUUCUCUCCCCAGCCCUGUAAAACAGAAUGAGAUGAGUCACCUGCGGCUCCUAUUGUCUAUGGAGUAGUCUGUGCAACUCCAGCCUUUGCCGAAGGUAUAAAACCACGAAUUAUCUCUCACUUCUCUGAGGACAGGCUUAGGCACUGGGAAGAAGGGAAGGACAGUGUUGGGGGACACGUCUUUGGCUGUUUGCUGUACAAUGUAGAUUUUGGCUCUUGGGCGAACCUGCCUCUGAGUGUCUUAUAUAGAAGGGCUUUCUCUUCUCAUCAGGUCCUAUGGUAUAGGACUAUACAAAUUGCCACAUCCUUAUUAGCUGAGCUGUGCAGGCUUGCCAAACACCACCGCAGCUGGCCUUCUUGACAGCUGACCUUCCCUCAUUUGUAUCCACCCACACCUUCCCAAAAGUUAUAUGCAAAUCUGCCCCAACAGCAACUGACCUCUGGGAGGACCAGAAGAGGGGGCUCCAUCUACACAGGUAGCAUUCGUGUUAGGUGCAGACCUGUGCUCCUCCCAGCAACCUGCCACCCAUUACUGGGUUCCCCCGGGUGAACUUUUGGGGAAUCGCACCUCUGUUUGCUGCUAGGGCCUUUGAAGUGAGGUUAGAUUCGGCUUACCUCUCCCUUAGGAAUGAUUUUAAAAACAGGCCCUCUAGUAACGUCUACUUGAGGGAUACCAAACAUGGAGGCCCGUGAGGUACAGGGUGAGCAGACUAUAGUGAGAUAAGCCUAUUUGGGGGACUUAUCCUAAGGUUCCCCCAUUUCUCUUCUAGACAUAGCUGUCAUCUGCCUCCACAGUAGGGAUAGUCUUUUAUUCUUUUUUCCUUUCUUAUUUCCCCUCUCUUCCUUCUUCCCUG
rnacentral:sRNA from 1 species